ACGGAGGGUGCAAGCGUUGUUCGGAAUUACUGGGCGUAAAGGGCGCGUAGGUGGUUGCGUAAGUCGGAUGUGAAAUCCCCAGGCUUAACCUGGGAACUGCAUCCGAUACUGCAUGACUCGAGUGCAGCAGAGGGAAACGGAAUUCCUGGUGUAGAGGUGAAAUUCGUAGCUAUCAGGAGGAUCACCGGUGGCGAAGGCGGUUUCCUGGGCUGACUCUGACGCUGAGGCGCGUAAGCGUCGGUAGCAAUCAG
rnacentral:rRNA from 1 species